CCUCCUCCUCCUCCUCCUCCUCCUCGUCUUCUGCGCCCGCCCCCGCAUCCGCUGACGCCUUCUCUUCUAAUGCCGGGGCGAGCGCCGCGCCCACCUCCGCCACUCCCGGCGGCGCCUCGGUCGCUGCUCCGUCAUCGCCAUCGGACGACGUGGCGGCAUCGCCCUUCUUCCGGCCGAUCUUCAUCUGAUCUGGAUCCUUUGGUCGCAGGUUUUCUUUGUAGCUCCUCUCCCUCUCUCUCUCUCUUCCAUGGUGCUGAUCCUAAAUUAUCAGAUGUUGCUGGAGUUGUAGUGUGUAAUUCUUUGACACCUAUGACUAUAGCUAAUCUAUAAAGGUGCGCACCAUGAACUAAUAGCUAUCUUUUAGUUCCUUCUGUUUAUGGAGUUGAGAAGUCAAUGAUACUAGUACAUGUGUUUCAUGAGAAAAGAGAAAUUUGUGGACUUUAUGGAAUUGAGAAUUUAUGAAUGCUUGUAUGUCAUAAAAAAGAGAAAAUAAUCACUGUUUCUUGGGGUUAACCUUACCUGGUCACUUGCAAGGAUAUUGCAACUGUUUCAGCACCAUGCAAGCAAACAAUAGCAAAUUCAUUUGCAGUUGUUAGUUACAAGCAACCAAACAAAAAAUAGUUGUUGCAACUGCAAAUGAAUUGCAGCAUUUCCAUUUAUAACUACAAAUCUUUUUGCAUGCCAAUAGAUUCGUAUGCAACCAAACAGCCCCUAAGAGUUGUAUAGCUAUAUUGAUGUGGAUCCUCUAAUUUCUACUAUCAUAGUGGGAAAGGCCUCAAGCCUCCAUCCAUGAGUCACUAAGAUGUUUGUCCAUGUUCCAUUUUACACAUACUCCAUUCUUGAAAAAGUACACCUCACCUAGUAUUUGGUUUUCUAUCUUUAAGGGACAAAAAGAAAGGGUCGGAUGAAGCAAAAUAAAGAGUUUAUUUAUUGAUACAAUCAUUUUUUGGGGGAAAAAAAACUCAAUCCCUACUAUGAUAGCACAAAAGUCUUUUAUCUCCACCCUUGAGUCCCCAAGUUGCUUGUCCAUGUCUCAUUUGAUGGAAUAUAAACAUGUACCGCCUUUGAGCAAAAAAAUGCAUCCCACUUGUUUUAGUAAUCUAAAUUAAAGGGAAAGUGAAAAGAAUGUGCAUAAAGCAAAAAUAGGAGUUCUUUUAUCACUUUAUUAGUCAAAAAAAUAGAAGGGAUCAUAAUCAUCCUUUCUUCUCAUGUUCACUGUACAUGCUUCAUACUAGACUUGGUGUAAUGCAGAGAUUCCAUGCUUGCUUCUCUCUAUUUUCAAAUGGUUUGCCUUUAGAGUUUAGACCACUGCAACUUCUUCAUCAUUCCAAUAGAAUUGAUUAUUAGUUAUUUAUUAGCAUUACUAAAUGGUUAACAUUAGAUUUUUUUAUGGGACUACACUUCCAUUUAACCAAAAUCUGCCUGCUUUCUUAAACUCUCAACAAGUUGGUGGGAAUUUGGAAGAUUUCCCCUUGGUUAUAUAAAUUUAAACAACAACAAAGAAGAAUAGGUUUUGUGAGGAACCAUACAGGAGCAUAUUUAGUCCCAUAUUAGCUAUGCACUGGGUAGGUCUUGGGUACUUAUACAAGACCAAUGAACUCAAAUAAUACUUUCCAGCUAGCCUUUUUGGAUGAGGUCUUGAGUUAUUAAAAAUGGUAUUAGAGCAGCCCUGCCCCAUGGCCCAUAUGAACUAGAGGGCACUGCACACAGAUCCAUUGAGGCUGACCACAAACCGAUCGUAAUGUUUGCAAUUGGAUUUAUGGUGCUUGUGAAUGGAUUUGCAUGAAUUUGGACUCUUGGCCUAGCAAGGAGGCCAGGAUUUAAGAGGAGUAUGCAAGGACCCAUGUGGGUGUAUGCUUACUCCCACAUCGGCAAUCCACUGGGUAGAUCUUAAGUACAUAUACAAGGCCAAUGAACUCAAAUAAUACCUUUCGACUAGCUUUUUUGGAUGAAAUCCUAGGUUGUUACAGAUUUUCUUCUUCUCUUUUGAUUCCAUAAAAGGGCAAGGGAGACAACCGACAAGAUAAGAUAAGAACUAGGAAAAAUAAGCUUCCCUACCCACCGACCAUUCUUCUAGGAGUCACUCUCUUGCAUAAAGUUGUUCGGCAAAAGAGUUUAGCAACAACUCUUGAAAAGGAUUAACAUCAAGAGUUAAGUUGGCAACAGAUCAUAGUACAAUUGGCCCCAUUUCGACAAAAAAGGACUUGGAUCAUGAUGAUGAUGAGUAAAAUGGUCAUUUGACAUUUUCACCCAAUAAAGUCAAACUAACUAGGUGCAUCCAUAGCAAUGCAAACUACGUAGAAAGUGCACAACAUCCUAAGUGAUUCUUUUGCUUAGUAUGAAUGUCCUAAAGAACAAACUUGUGAAAAAUAUAAAGCAAUACAAAGUGUAAACCAUAGUUCUCUCAUUAAUGGCAUGCCUUCAGGAACACAAUCAAGCAGAUACAAACUUGGAUGCACAUCUUCCUUGAAUCACAUGAAAAAACCAAUAAUUAAAAAGAGUAAAAAAUAUUUAGAGGUCUACAGGAUGUAUUCCUAUUUUUGAAGACACAUUGUGCUUAGAUGAGCUAUGCCCAAUGUGAAAUGGACCAUAAAUAAGUACACAUGCAGAUUCAGCAAGAAAUUCAAAAUAUCAUGCACAAAAAGUGACAAUGCUACAUCUACAUUUUUGCUGAAGAUCUAUGGUGUUUAAUUAGGUUAACAUAAAAAAAAAUAAAGGAGCACAACCAAUUUAAAAGUUUUUAGAACUUCAAGCUUCAAAAUACUCAGCAUACGAAUACUUCUACACUAGAUAAAGAAACAGAGAAGCAUAUAUACAUACAUAUACAUUUACAUGUGCAUAAUAAAUAUAUACACAUUUAUAGAUUCAGGCAUGUGUACAUGUGUAUGCCAUCAAAGCCUCUUUUUCAACAAAAUGGAUUUUGCUAUAAAGUGAACUCUAAAUUGAGAAAGCUCCAAGGAAGAAUUGAGCAGGUUUCUAUAAUUGGUUAACCAUAGACUCGACAUUAUCUGUCUUAAGAACUGGUGCCAAAUUUCGAGCCAAGGUAAGCAAGGAAAAAGCUAGCUAGCAAGGAAUGAGGCCAGGUUUACGGAUCACAUAUCUAAGCUAAUGCAACCUGCUCCCUUCAAAAUCUCCCUCUACUAGAAAGCUUGCAGAUAAAGAGGAAACAAAAACAUGUCAUUUCCAUCCAAAAAUCCCUUAGAGACAAACAAUUCUUCAGCAAGUAAGCACUCACCUGCACACUUACAGGCAUAUAUGCAUGUACAUUAAUACAUACAUAUACAUAAUAUGCAUAUACAUAGACAUAUUUCAAAGAUGCUAAUGCAAGUGUCGAUACUUCUCAAAGAGAUUGAUUUAAAAUAUACGCAUAUACAUAAAUACAUAAUUAAAUUUAUCUUAGAGACCUAUUUCAAUGAAAAAUUUAAAACUAAUGGCAUUUUAUUGGAAUAUUGUAGCAAUAUUUUAAUCAAUCUCUUUGAGAAGUAUCGACACUUGCAUUAAUGCGCCCUUGAAUAGACACUCCAACAUAUUACCAAGUGCAUCAUCUUUGAGCUGAUGGAUUCAAGACACUCCAUUUUUGAAAUGGCAAUGUGUCAUACCAUGUGUAAUGCCCAAGAUCCAAAAGCAAUGACACUCAAGAAUUCCUAAAAUGUAAAGAAGCUUAUAUAAUUUAAAGCACAAGGUCAAGCUGAUAUGCAACUCGAGAUUAUGGUGGCACAAAGCUCGAAACAAGAAGUUAGUUCAUGCAGCAUAGAUCAAGGCAAAUAAAAACAACAACUCCGAAGAAAAUGCAUGUGCCUCCCAGAUAUGCAACAAAGAUCAAACAUCAGGAUAGAAUCUUACAUGCAAGAUUUGCAGUCAAAAGUUGAUUAGUUCUAAAUGUGCAUGCAUAUCUAAUUAGUUUCAUCUCAUAUAAUGGCAAAACUAAAGAAGUUUCUUAAAUUUUUAGGGUGCUUUGAGGUUUUGGUGUUUUCACUUUUUGAAGGUUUACUUAGCAACAUGCAACAUCUAAGCAUGCUGAACUUGAACCUGAUCCAAAAAUAGUGUCCAAAAAGAAAAAGGAAGUGCACAAGUUGGAAAAAAAAAAUACAGCAAGAGGUGAGUCAGAAGCCUAAUUUAGCUUAUGCUCACCUCAGAGCCUUGAAUGUUAUGGACACUUGCUGCACAUUGUCCGUCACCGUCGCGUAGUAACGGAUCGGUUUAAUGAUCUUUGCAAUAAAAAGCGCUUUUGCAGAGUCAUCCAUCUUGUUCUUAUCACCAAUCUCAUCUUCAGUGGAUCCAACAUCUUCAUUCCCCGACUUUUCACCUUUGCCGCAAGAUCCAUUUGCACUCCUGGCAGCUGCAUUUCGCACCUCGUCCCGAUCACAAGGACGUGAAUCCUGCUUGAACCUCCUCACGCAUCCAGACUUCCUCCUCUUGGCACCAGUGACUUGGUUGCCCUGCUGCGAGGGCUGGGCGCUCUCCACCUUGGAGAACCCAUCAGUGGAACCAUCUUCCUCCCGCCCGCCAGGCAGAUGGAUGGAAAUGGACUGUCCUUGUUGCUCCCCAAGACUGGGACUCCCGUUCACACCCCUUUUCUUCUGUUCAUCUUGAGCUCCGUGCAGAGGAGAGCCAUUCGCCUCGACCGCACCUGCGUACUCCUUCCCGUUUCCCUCCUCCACCACCGCAUCUGCCUCCGCUUCCCUGGCUCUAUCAGUAGAAUUGGCAGCGGCCGUCUUGUCCUGAGACACUGGUCUCGGAUUCUCGGCGGCGGUCGCGGGAGAUUCCUCCGUCUGGCCGGAGCGCUGCUGCUGCUUCUUCUUGGCCACGCCUUGAGAAACCCCGUGCUUGCGCCUGCGCUUCCGCGAAGGCCUGGUCGACCGCGACCUGCAGAAGCACACCCCCGCCCCCCCCACACCAUUAAACUUGAGAGCGGAAGGAAAAGAAAAAGAAAACAGAGCAGAGGAAGGAUCAUGGAAGGUUCUGUAGGCACGAACGAACCUCUCUUCGAAGGCUUCGAUGAUAUCUGCGCAGGAUUUGACGUUGUCGUAGGGUUCCCAGGUGUUGGCUGUCUCCGGCCAUCCCCGCCUUCCAUGUACCCCAAUCCAAUAAACAAACAAAGACAUCAAGCCCUAAUAGGGAGCAUAAGAGGAGGAGGAGGAGAAGAGAAGUCAGUAGGUAGUAUCUAUUUUUACUUCAUACUUACCAUUUGAUGAGAUACUGGACCUGACCCUUGCGGACCCUCUUCUUUCUAAUGUCCUCGAUCUCGUAGAAGUCCUCGUCAAGCUUCGGCGCCUCCUCCUCUCCCCCCUCCAAAAACCCCCUCCUCCUCUCCCUCCUCGCCCUCCUCCUNNNNNNNNNNNNNNNNNNNNNNNNNNNNNNNNNNNNNNNNNNNNNNNNNNNNNNNNNNNNNNNNNNNNNNNNNNNNNNNNNNNNNNNNNNNNNNNNNNNNNNNNNNNNNNNNNNNNNNNNNNNNNNNNNNNNNNNNNNGGACGACGUGGCGGCAUCGCCCUUCUUCCGGCCGAUCUUCAUCUGAUCUGGAUCCUUUGGUCGCAGGUUUCCUUUUUAUUUUCCUUUUUCUUUUUUUUC
rnacentral:lncRNA from 1 species